rnacentral:rRNA from 1 species
CGGUUAAGUUAGAAAGGGCGCACGGUGGAUGCCUUGGCACUAGGAGCCGAUGAAGGACGGGACGAACACCGAUAUGCUUCGGGGAGCUGUAAGCAAGCUUUGAUCCGGAGAUUUCCGAAUGGGGAAACCCACCACUCGUAAUGGAGUGGUAUCCAUAUCUGAAUACAUAGGAUAUGAGAAGGCAGACCCGGGGAACUGAAACAUCUAAGUACCCGGAGGAAGAGAAAGCAAAUGCGAUUCCCUGAGUAGCGGCGAGCGAAACGGGACCAGCCCAAACCAAGAGGCUUGCCUCUUGGGGUUGUAGGACACUCUGUACGGAGUUACAAAGGAACGAGGUAGAUGAAGAGGUCUGGAAAGGCCCGCCAUAGGAGGUAACAGCCCUGUAGUCAAAACUUCGUUCUCUCCUGAGUGGAUCCUGAGUACGGCGGAACACGUGAAAUUCCGUCGGAAUCCGGGAGGACCAUCUCCCAAGGCUAAAUACUCCCUAGUGACCGAUAGUGAACCAGUACCGUGAGGGAAAGGUGAAAAGCACCCCGGAAGGGGAGUGAAAGAGAUCCUGAAACCGUGUGCCUACAAGUAGUCAGAGCCCGUUAACGGGUGAUGGCGUGCCUUUUGUAGAAUGAACCGGCGAGUUACGAUCCCGUGCAAGGUUAAGCAGAAGAUGCGGAGCCGCAGCGAAAGCGAGUCUGAAUAGGGCGAAUUGAGUACGUGGUCGUAGACCCGAAACCAGGUGAUCUACCCAUGUCCAGGGUGAAGUUCAGGUAACACUGAAUGGAGGCCCGAACCCACGCACGUUGAAAAGUGCGGGGAUGAGGUGUGGGUAGGGGUGAAAUGCCAAUCGAACCUGGAGAUAGCUGGUUCUCUCCGAAAUAGCUUUAGGGCUAGCCUCAAGGUAAGAGUCUCGGAGGUAGAGCACUGAUUGGACUAGGGGCCCCUACCGGGUUACCGAAUUCAGUCAAACUCCGAAUGCCGAUGACUUAUCCUUGGGAGUCAGACUGCGAGUGAUAAGAUCCGUAGUCGAAAGGGAAACAGCCCAGACCGCCAGCUAAGGUCCCAAAGUAUACGUUAAGUGGAAAAGGAUGUGGAGUUGCUUAGACAACCAGGAUGUUGGCUUAGAAGCAGCCACCAUUUAAAGAGUGCGUAAUAGCUCACUGGUCGAGUGACUCUGCGCCGAAAAUGUACCGGGGCUAAACGUAUCACCGAAGCUGCGGACUGUUCUUCGAACAGUGGUAGGAGAGCGUUCUAAGGGCUGUGAAGCAAGACCGGAAGGACUUGUGGAGCGCUUAGAAGUGAGAAUGCCGGUAUGAGUAGCGAAAGAGGGGUGAGAAUCCCCUCCACCGAAUGCCUAAGGUUUCCUGAGGAAGGCUCGUCCGCUCAGGGUUAGUCGGGACCUAAGCCGAGGCCGAAAGGCGUAGGCGAUGGACAACAGGUUGAUAUUCCUGUACCACCUCCUCACCAUUUGAGCAAUGGGGGGACGCAGGAGGAUAGGGUAAGCGCGGUAUUGGAUAUCCGCGUCCAAGCAGUUAGGCUGGGAAAUAGGCAAAUCCGUUUCCCGUGAAGGCUGAGCUGUGAUGGCGAGCGAAUUAUAGUAGCGAAGUUCCUGAUUCCACACUGCCAAGAAAAGCCUCUAGCGAGGUGAGAGGUGCCCGUACCGCAAACCGACACAGGUAGGCGAGGAGAGAAUCCUAAGGUGAUCGAGAGAACUCUCGUUAAGGAACUCGGCAAAAUGACCCCGUAACUUCGGGAGAAGGGGUGCUCUGUUAGGGUGCAAGCCCGAGAGAGCCGCAGUGAAUAGGCCCAGGCGACUGUUUAGCAAAAACACAGGUCUCUGCGAAGCCGUAAGGCGAAGUAUAGGGGCUGACGCCUGCCCGGUGCUGGAAGGUUAAGAGGAGCGCUUAGCGUAAGCGAAGGUGCGAAUUGAAGCCCCAGUAAACGGCGGCCGUAACUAUAACGGUCCUAAGGUAGCGAAAUUCCUUGUCGGGUAAGUUCCGACCCGCACGAAAGGCGCAACGAUCUGGGCACUGUCUCAACGAGAGACUCGGUGAAAUUAUAGUACCUGUGAAGAUGCAGGUUACCCGCGACAGGACGGAAAGACCCCGUGGAGCUUUACUGCAGCCUGAUAUUGAAUGUUGGUACAGCUUGUACAGGAUAGGUAGGAGCCUUGGAAACCGGAGCGCCAGCUUCGGUGGAGGCAUCGGUGGGAUACUACCCUGGCUGUAUUGACCUUCUAACCCGCCGCCCUUAUCGGGCGGGGAGACAGUGUCAGGUGGGCAGUUUGACUGGGGCGGUCGCCUCCUAAAAGGUAACGGAGGCGCCCAAAGGUUCCCUCAGAAUGGUUGGAAAUCAUUCGCAGAGUGUAAAGGCACAAGGGAGCUUGACUGCGAGACCUACAAGUCGAGCAGGGACGAAAGUCGGGCUUAGUGAUCCGGUGGUUCCGCAUGGAAGGGCCAUCGCUCAACGGAUAAAAGCUACCCCGGGGAUAACAGGCUUAUCUCCCCAAGAGUCCACAUCGACGGGGAGGUUUGGCACCUCGAUGUCGGCUCAUCGCAUCCUGGGGCUGUAGUCGGUCCCAAGGGUUGGGCUGUUCGCCCAUUAAAGCGGUACGCGAGCUGGGUUCAGAACGUCGUGAGACAGUUCGGUCCCUAUCCGUCGCGGGCGCAGGAAAUUUGAGAGGAGCUGUCCUUAGUACGAGAGGACCGGGAUGGACGCACCGCUGGUGUACCAGUUGUUCUGCCAAGGGCAUCGCUGGGUAGCUAUGUGCGGACGGGAUAAGUGCUGAAAGCAUCUAAGCAUGAAGCCCCCCUCAAGAUGAGAUUUCCCAUUCCGCAAGGAAGUAAGAUCCCUGAAAGAUGAUCAGGUUGAUAGGUCUGAGGUGGAAGUGUGGCGACACAUGGAGCUGACAGAUACUAAUCGAUCGAGGACUUAACCAA